CCGGGCGGCUAUGGCGGCGGGGUCCCACCUCUUCCCAUUCCGAACAGAGAAGUUAAGCCCGCCAUCGCCGAUGGUACUGCACACCAGUGGGAGAGUAGGUAGCUGCCCCUU
rnacentral:rRNA from 1 species